UACGUAGGGGGCGAGCGUUGUCCGGAUUUAUUGGGCGUAAAGAGCUCGUAGGCGGUUCGGCAAGUCGGAUGUGAAAUCUCCACGCUCAACGUGGAGGGGCCAUCCGAUACUGCCGUGACUCGAGUCCGGUAGGGGAGUGUGGAAUUCCCGGUGUAGCGGUGAAAUGCGCAGAUAUCAGGAGGAACACCGGUGGCGAAGGCGGGUCUCUGGGCCGAUACUGACGCUGAGGAGCGAAAGCGUGGGGGAGCGAACAGG
rnacentral:rRNA from 1 species